ACACUACCUUAAAAAAAAUUGGUUGACUGGUUGUCGGGAAUCCUACACAAUUCGAAUAAACACUCAAGUGUAGGUAAUCGAAUUCCUCACGCUCUUGAUUGAGGAUGAGGAAAUAAGACUUGGUCUAUUUUGCUUCCUCUCGGGAUUUGUGCCGUCGCUGUCUGUUGCCCAUGAUCCAAUCGACAAAGGCUCAAUGCUGCCAUGCAGAAACCAGAAAUGAAUCUUCACUUUUAUAUUUAAUAAAAUGUUUCCACGCCAUUCGACCAAGCUGAAUCGAAAGUGAAUAAUUCUAAAGCAACAUGUCGAAAGAUCUUGCCUUUAUCCACGUGAUCGCUGCCGUGUCAUGAAGGUUUGUCUUUGAGAGGGUCAACUAUAUUGCAAGACAAAAAUGUGACGAAAACAGGAAAUCUGAAAUGGUAAUAAUGUACUUUUAAGGUAAAUCAAGUAGGUACUGUACGACUGUAGGUACGUACGACUGUACACACUUCCUUUUCCUGCCUGUUAUUCACUUUAACAUUUUGCCAAAUUCAUUCAAGGGAAAUGCAGCGGUCCUCUUGAGUAAGAGGUAAAAUAAAUCAUCGCUCAUCGGUGUAGUUGGAAAUUUUAGUUGUCAAAUUUUCAUUGGUCGUUAGGUUGCUGUUCCAACAACGUUAACAUGGGAGCAGUGGAAGACAUCAAGGAGGGACAAUCGGAUAUGUGAAGGGAGUGAGAAUCGAACCCGGGUCAUUUGGAAUCAACAAAGAGUUGGUAAAACCAUUUUACCAUGGACCCUAAUCUUUUUUGAACGAUCUGAGGAAAGUGAACAUACUCAAAAUGGAUACCUGUCUGAGAGAAUAAUGGAAUGUUAAUUUCGUGGAGUGUCGUACCAGUAGUUGAGUUGUACAAUAUAGAUUUUGUAUGUUGGAGUCCCGUGUUCGACUCAGUUUUCAAUUCCUGGCGCAGACUGUUACAGAUUUUAUUAGCCGUUGGUGUAUUGUAAAUAGGAAAAAUUUGUUUCAAGCUUCUUGUAUUGAAACACUAGAUUUCACUGAAGGGCGUCAAUUGUUGUUCUAUUUGAUG